rnacentral:rRNA from 1 species
GACAGAGGAUGCAAGCGUUAUCCGGAAUGAUUGGGCGUAAAGGGUCCGCAGGUGGCCCGGUCAGUCCGCUGUCAAAGCCUGGGGCUCAACCCUGGAGAGGCGGCGGAGACCACCGGGCUUGAGUCCGGUAGGGGCAGAGGGAAUUUCCGGUGGAGCGGUGAAAUGCGUAGAGAUCGGAAAGAACACCAACGGCGAAAGCACUCUGCUGGGCCGACACUGACACUGAGAGACGAAAGCUAGGGGAGCGAAUGGG